GAAGACCUCAGGUACGCAGGAAUCUCCAGCAAGAUACCCUUAUGUCCACUGCCAAUACUUAAAUGAAUUCUGGGAAGGGGUGGAUCCUGGCUCCAGCCUUUCCGCUCACUCAGGUACAUUGCAUGCAGCUGAGCUUCCCUGGGCUGGCCCUGCCUUCCCACCAGGUGCUCCAUCACUGCUUCAGGCUGUUCAACAUUUCUACUACACCAAGGAAGUUUCUCAUACAAAGCAGAAAAGAUAGACUGCUUAAAGACUGGCAUCUCCUAAUUUUUAGUUUUUUUGUCUUUUGGUCAGGCCAGCAAUUAAGCCUUGAUUUUGAUGUAGAUCAUACAGAUCGAUACCCCUAGCUGUUGUGUAUUUUUUUUUUUUAAUCUCAUUCCCAAGAGCUAAGUAGUGAUUUGCCAAGUGGAUGUGGUAAUAUGUGCACUGUAGAGAUAGGAAGUACCUGCAUUCUGAGUUUUUGCCUCACUGCAAAAGUACUAACAAAAUACAAGUUUUCCCCAUGCAUGGCUGUUGGCAGAGACAGCUGGUACCCCAAUCUGUAUUAAAGGUCUUGUGAAAGCAAGCAUCUAACAGAUACAUGGAAGGUAAUUUGCAUUUCACAACUGAAGAUUGCAAUUCAUAAAUGAAGAAAUAUGGAAUGCAUUGCUUCCCUAUUUGGAUGUUUACUGCUCAGUUGCAUGAUCCAUUUAUCCAGGUGGUGAAAAGUGAUAAUACCAAACAUAUAGCCUGCACCUACAUCUACAGAUUGUGGCUUUCAUUUUUCUGUUCCUGAGAUGGCCAAGCAAGUCUUUCUUUUCCAGUGUCUUCACCUCAGCCCAGCUAACUUGGUUCAAGUCAGCUUUGUUUGCCCUUGCAUAAAUUCAGUUGUGACAUCACAAAGGUUACCUCUGUUUCAUGGCAAUGACUGAACUUGGGAGAGGGAAGGGCAGGAGGAGGUACAGAAAAUAAAUCAUGAACACAGGUUAGACCAUAGUUUAGAUACAAGAAUUUGGAUCCUGACAACUUGAGUACAGAGGCAAAGAAAGGAUUAUCGCUUUGGGAUGUAAAAAAAAAAAAGGCAACUUUUAGCUAUUUGCUUCAAAGGCUGUUCUGUUGGGAAUUACAAGACAUUUAGCCAGCAAACUCCUUCAUCUAGGCUUUGUUCUGCACUCAGAAAAGUCGUCAAGAAGUGUUUCCUCAAUGGAGGAUGACAGUGACCUUGAGCAGAGCUCCUGGGCUAAUUUACCUGAUGUCUGUCUGAGGCAUGUCUUCCAUUGGUUAGAUGACAAGGACAGAUCUCGAGCUGCAAUGGUCUGUAAAAAAUGGAAUCAGGCCAUGUACUCAGGAUCCCUCUGGAGAACCAGAACCAUCACGUUCAAUGGCCAACCAUCAAGGGCACAUGCAUUUGAAUUUGAAACUGCACUGUGGUACGUCAAGAAAUUUGGCAAGUAUUUGGAACACCUUGAAAUCAAGUUACUGCAUCCUUACAGUACUGUCUUUACCCGAAAAUUUCAAGUGUCUAUGAGAGGCCUUCUCUCACACUUGGGUAAGUGUAACUGUCGUCUGGUAUCCUUGAGCAUCAAGCACCUGGAAUUAGAUCGCUUGGUCUGGAAAAACGUAGUCAGAGCUCAGUUUAUCAAGAACUUAGGUACCUUUCUGAAGAGAAUGAGCAAACAGCUUAAUUAUCUCAACUUAAAAGGAGCAAGAGUAACCUUGGAAGAAGGCUGUGAGCUUCUGAAUUCUCUGAGCUGCCUGACUAAUAAAAGCUUUAUAUCUGAAAUAAAUAUUGAGGAUUUCUUCAGUCUCCACCUUCCUGUCUACAGCAGCACCUUGUUCCACCAUACUGUGUCCAAGUUCCACAGCCUGGCUGUCCUGACUUUCAAUUAUAACUGUAUCUCUGAUGAACUGCUGGACAUUCUGUGCAAGAACAGUGCUCAUUCACUGUGCACCUUGAAUAUCAAAUGUCAUAUCCAUGACCCUCAUGGGCAAGUGGUCUGGGGAAUGUCAUGGGCCAACUUGGCCAAAAGAGCCCCAAAACUGAAUGUGAACUUCUACUUUGAAAGAGUCAUGAAGCAUGAUCAUCUAGCCAGGAUCCUGCUAGUGGAGAUCCCAGUCAGGAGCAUCAGUUUAAGGAGCUGCUAUUUCAGAGACCCAUACUGGAUGAUGAGACCUACCCUCACCAACAUCCUCCCAGCCUAUUGGCACGUGCUGCAGAAAUUAACCCUUGAAGUAAACAAUGACAACGAGCUGCUGGAUGAUGAGCUGCUACAGCUCAUCUUAUCAUGCAGGAAGUUGUUUUUUCUGAAAGUCUGGGCAUUUCUUAGUGUCACUUUUAUGGAGAGGUUGCUACAUAAUCGUGCAGAAAGGAAAUGCUUUUUGACUACAAUAAAGAACCAGAAGCAGCAGUGAGUUCCUUCUCAGCCUUCGUAGGCAUCUCCAGUAAAAAUAAAGCCCUCUUCUUCAUCCAGCACUUCCCCUUGCAGAGUUUCAAAUACCUUACCAAUUAGGCCCAUCUGUUUGUUUCCAUUUUACAAAUAGGAAAACUGAGACAUGGAAUGAGGAAACAAUUAGCCCAAAAUCAGCCUUGGCUUGAUCUUGAUUCAGAUGCAGUCAGGUACACCAUUCCACUGCAUCAUCAUUCCUUAGUUCCCGUUGAGUUUAAUGUACACUCAGUGCCUAGUUCUUAACAGCAGAUGUUAAGAAGAAAACCAUAUCACAGCUAGUCCUGGCAGUCAACACUCCCACUUGAUCAGUUUACCAGUAUCUUGUGAGAGAACUCCUGCUCUAGCUUCCACAACUUCUACACCUCUCAAUUGCAAAAAACAUCAUUGGUUGUACCUGAGAUGGCACGGAAAGCACAUUCCUUCUUAUUCUGGAACUUUGUUGCCAAGUGGGAGAUUUCAUCAGACCUUCUAGAGCACAGUCCUAGCUUCUUCGACUCUCAGCUACUAAGCGCUCUGAACUGGAUUUCUGAGACUCUGUACUGGCACACUGCAUCUUGUUUGCGACAUGCCAUUCUGAAGGAUGAAACUUGGGUGGAGCUUGCAGCAGUCUGGCCAUUGUUUUUUGAAAGGCUUUGCAUACAACACAGGUGAAUUCUUGGAACGUGGAACCUGAAAUCAUGAGUAGGAUUAUAUUUGGCUGCAGAAGCAAAAAUGUAUGAAGAUGGGCAUAGGAGGGUAGAAAAGAUUCUUGUCACUUUAACAUUCCAAAAAACAUGAAGAAACAAGAAUUUGGAAAUGGAAGUUAGAAGAAGAGAAAUACAAUCACAGCAUAUUAAAAAAAAAAAAAAAAGAACAAAUUUAAGA